GACGAACGCUGGCGGCGUGCUUAACACAUGCAAGUCGAGCGGUAAGGCCCUUUCGGGGUACGACGAGCGGCGAACGGGUGAGUAACACGUGGGUGACCUGCCCUCAGCUCUGGGAUAAGCCUGGGAAACCGGGUCUAAUACUGGAUAUGACUCCAUGACGCAUGUUGUGGGGUGGAAAGCCUUGUGCGGCUGAGGAUGGGCCCGCGGCCUAUCAGCUUGUUGGUGGGGUGANGGCCUACCAAGGCGACGACGGGUAGCCGGCCUGAGAGGGCGACCGGCCACACUGGGACUGAGACACGGCCC
rnacentral:rRNA from 1 species